GGCGUGAGGAAGAUGAGUAGUGGUGAAGCUCCUCCCACCAUCACCAUGGCUCUGAUCAACCCCCAGUCCGCCUCCGUCUCCUCGGACACCAAACAGUCCUCCACUCAGCAGCUCUCCAUCAGUGUGUGAGUAACAUGGUAGUAACAUAGUAAUAGCUUUGUAGUAACAUAUGAGUAACAGCCUCCGCUGACACCAAUGUGUGCUCUACACAGCAGAGAAACAUUGGAGUAACGUAGUAGUAACGUAGUAGUAACUCAGGAGUAAUACAGUAGUAACAUGGUAGUAACAACCUCCGCUGACACCAAGCAGUCCGCCACCUAGGAACUCCAUCAGCGUUGUGAGUAACACUGGAGUAACACUGCAGUAACAUCAGCCGAUGUCACAAAGUGCUGUACAGAAACCCAGCCUAAAACCCCAAACAGCAACCAGUGCAGAUGUAGAAGCACGUGAUGAUAUAGAAUUUGUCAUCUUUGUGAGAUUGUGGUAACAUGUAAUCUGUUGUUCAGGUGUGCUGCUCUGUACUCCUACAAGCCCUGUCGUUCUGAGGAACUGGAGCUGAGGAAGGGGGAGAUGGUAGGGGUGUAUGGGAAGUUUAAGGAGGGCUGGCUCCGAGGCCUCUCUCUACGGACGGGCAAAGUGGGCAUCCUGCCCGGCAACUACGUCACACCUGUCCUCAGAACCUCUGCCAGGCUCUUGGAGUCCAAGGCAGUGACGGCAGGCCCUGGUACAGUCCCUGGAAGAAGAACCUCCUCGUCCUCCAAAACGCCAGCGGUGGUUCUAGCUCUCCACAGGGUCAACUCAGAUGAAACUAGUUACUCUACUGGACAACGGGUUCCGCAGCAGUCCACCUCCGUGGCCACGCAGCUUGUGACGUCAUCAGGCGGCGCCACCAGAAAGUCCCGGCACGGGGUGGGCUCGGAGGGAUGGGACACAGUGAGGAGAGUCUUCCAUCGUUCACACAGAGGCUCAUCUCAGCGGGGAAACCACUACGCCCACACCACCAUCUCUUCCAGCUCAGCCCUUCAAUCCCAGACCCAGACCCACAGUCAGAGCUCAUCCCAGAACUCAUCCCAGCGCUGUAACCACUACCCCCACACUACCAGCGCCACCUCAGGCCUUCAACCCCAUUCUCAGUCCCAUUCUCACAGCCAGAACUUUAGCCAUAUUCAGGCCCCUGGCUACUCCCCUGCUCUGCUCAGGAAGAAACAACACAUGAGCAUCCUGCCCAAUCACAACAGAUCUCUGGCUUGGAUGUCUGAGGGACCCGCGCCCUCUAGUGGUGGUUUUAUGAAGGACAGGGACACUGCUGCUAGAGAGACGUUUGAUAGGCAGGUGUUGGAGACAAGGCAAGCAGCAUCGAAUGGUCAGCAGUCCAUCAACUCCAUCCUCGUGAAACCAGACGCCCUCAAGAACAACACAGAGAAGCCCACCAAGUCAGUGCGGUUCCUGACCCAGCCUGAUUCCCCUCCACCACGGCCCAGGACCACCUCCCUGCCCUCGGGUAGCCAGCCUCCCUCCAGUGCUCACCCUGGUCCCCCUCCCCUGGAGGUCUGGGCUCCAUCACUCACACUGGGGCGAGAUGGGCCUGGGAUCAUACUGAAAGAAGGCAAGGCUCCUGUUCUUAGGAAAGGUCUGGAGACAAACCCCUCAGAUGUUCUGACUUCCAAUCAGAAACCAGCACCAUCAGCGUCAAUACUGUCCAGCAGCCCUAGCAGACACAGAGUAGGGACGUCAUACCAGGCCCAGACGGAGUCAGAGAUGAGCCUGAUGCAGGGUGAGCCUGUCCUGCUCCACAGACAUCGGCCCGACGGACGGGUUCUGCUCACCCAGGAGAGCAGUGGCCACACGGGCCUCUUCCAUAGCAGUGUUCUACAGUUCUUAGACCGGUUCAGUUGACUGCCUGUAGUGUUUAGUUGUUAUUAUUAUAUGUGUGUUUUUCACAUAUAAAUAGAAUGACUAGCAUGGGAAAGCUCCCUAGACCGCGACAAUUUGAUAGUACACUCAAUAUGGCCGCUGGCCCACCCAGGUACAAUCAAUUUGGCCGCCAGCCUACCCCAUCAUGUAAUGUUGACUUGAAAACCAAUGUCCAUUCUAGCUAUUCUAUUUCUAUGGAUCUCCAUGUGUUGACACUGCCAAAUGAGAUGCCCAAACUGUGGAAGUGUGUGUGUGUGUGUGUUUUAUCUGUGUGUUGAAAAUAAUAUAUUAUACUGCCAUAUAAUGACUAUAUAUAAAGUAUGUGGACACCCCUUCACAUUUUGUGGAUUUGGCUGUUUCAGCCACACCUGUUGGUGACCGGUGUAUAAAAUUGAGCACACAGCCAUGCAAUCUCCAUAGACACAAAUUGGCAGUAGAAUAGCCUUACUGAAGAGCUCAGUGAAAUGUAUAUUUGGUACAUGGAUGCCACCUUUCCAACAAGUCAGUUUGUCAAAUUUCUGCCCUGCUAGAGCUUCCCCGGUCGACUGUAAGUGCUGUUAUUGUGAAGUGGAAAUGUCUAGGAGCAACAACGGCUCAGCCGCAAAGUGGUAGGCCACAGAAGUUCACAGAACGGGACCGCUGAGUGCUGAAGCGUGUAAAAAUUGUCUGUCCUCGGUUACAACACUCUCUACCGAGUUCCAAACUGCCUCUGGAAGCAACGUCAGCACAAUAACUGUUCGUCUAUAGCUUCAUGAAAUGGGUUUGGGAUAAAUUGGAACGCCGACUGCGCGCCAGGCUUGAUCGCCCAACAUCAGUGCCCGACCUCACUAAUGCUCUUGUUACUGAAUGGAAGCAAGUCCCCGCAGCAAUGUUCCAACAUCUAAUGGAAAGUCUUCCUAUAAGAGUGGAGGUUGUUAUAGCAGCAAAGUGGGGACCAACUCCAUAUUAAUGCCCAUGAUUUUGGAAUGAGGUGUCCACAUACUCUUGGUCAUGUAGUGUAUUUUUUUCUUUUUGAGGUUCUUUGGACCCGUUUUAAACUAGAUAAAUAACUAUGAGGUUCAGAGAUAUAUUUGUGUAUAUUUUGAUGUGCAGAAGCAUGAGAGUUGCAUAGACCUACUGUAUACAUUUAUUAUUACCAAUCCCAGUUGCACAAACCCACCUCAGACCAAUGUUUUGCUUAAAGAAUUAGUCUUCUCUUUAUUCAAGAGCUAUUAGACACACUAGUCAGUGCCUUUGCAAAGCCCACAAAGUAUAGAUUUGAAAAACAAUAACAGCCCUCUUACCAGAGGCAAAAUGUAUGCAAAAGUGAGGAUCGUAUAGUGGUAAUAAACAAUGCUUCCGUCAACUACAGCAUGCGUUUGUUACAUUCUCAACCUGAUUUUGCUAAAUAACUGCACACCUAUGGUAUGUGUCCUGUCCUGCACUUUGACGACUUCAGAAAACAUGCACAGGUGUCCUCUAACAAUAUCUACUUCUCUGCUCUUUACUUUGUGAGUGCUGAAAAUAAAUAAUGUAUGAUACAUUGUAGCUAAAAGACUCAUUUUAUUGGCUGUUGCAUGGAUCAUGAUCCCCUAUUCUGUUUUCCAUCUUACUCUAUAUCAUCCCGUUUUACAACAAACAUUAUUGUUGUUCAUUAAAGCAAACAUAGUGAGAUAGUCCUUUUACCUCCACCUAUGGCGAUGCCAUCUCUAAUGUACUUUACUGUCCACUACACCCCCUCCACCAUUCUACUGCGCGGCCGCAGAUCCACUUCGUUCAGACUUGACAAUUUUAUCUGCAUCGGAGGAAAUGGGCCACUGAUGGAAUAGGCACUGCGUUGGCAUCAAAAUCAUUUUUGUAAGAUAAACACUACCAUCAAAGCAUCCAAAAGUGUUUGCUAUUGUCUCAUGUAAUUUUAAA
rnacentral:lncRNA from 8 species